rnacentral:rRNA from 1 species
GGGGGAUAACUAUUGGAAACGAUAGCUAAUACCGCAUAAUGCCUACGGGCCAAAGAGGGGGAUCUUCGGACCUCUCGCGUCAAGAUUAGCCCAGGUGGGAUUAGCUAGUUGGUGGGGUAAAGGCUCACCAAGGCGACGAUCCCUAGCUGGUCUGAGAGGAUGAUCAGCCACACUGGAACUGAGACACGGUCCAGACUCCUACGGGAGGCAGCAGUGGGGAAUAUUGCACAAUGGGGGAAACCCUGAUGCAGCCAUGCCGCGUGUAUGAAGAAGGCCUUCGGGUUGUAAAGUACUUUCAGCAGUGAGGAAGGUGGUAGUGUUAAUAGCANUNNCAUUUGACGUUAGCUGCAGAAGAAGCACCGGCUAACUCCGUGCCAGCAGCCGCGGUAAUACGGAGGGUGCGAGCGUUAAUCGGAAUUACUGGGCGUAAAGCGCAUGCAGGCGGUCUGUUAAGCAAGAUGUGAAAGCCCGGGGCUCAACCUCGGAACAGCAUUUUGAACUGGCAGACUAGAGUCUUGUAGAGGGGGGUAGAAUUUCAGGUGUAGCGGUGAAAUGCGUAGAGAUCNGA